GAGAGACUGCAGAGCCAGACUGCUGCCCUCAGACACACGAACCAGCUGUCACAGCUGUGCAGCCUACAGCAGCGUGUCCUGGGAUGGAGGAUGUCCAGGGGCAGACAGUGGAGAGACAAGUAUGGCUGGGAUAGAGGAUGUCCAGAGGCUGACACUGGGGAGACAGGUAUGGAUUGAUGGUCUCUCCCGUCUCCAGCAGGGGCAGCCAGUGGGAAGACCAAUGUGGAUUGAGGUUGAUGCUUUGUCCUAUGUUCAUUUCUGUUGUUUUCCAGAAUGUCCAGUGGCAGACAGUGGGAAGAUGACGGGCUGUCCAGUGGCAGACAGUGGGGAAAACGGGUAUGGAUGAGGAGUUGGAAUGGAGGUUGGAUGCUCGCUCCUGUCUCUCUUUUCCCUAAUUUUCCAGAGUCCAGAGGCUGCCAGUGGGAAGAUGGGUAUGAAAGGUGUUGGGAUUGACAUUGGACUGUAUUUUCCUUAAAUUUCCAGGCUGGCCAGAGGCUGAUAGUGGGAAGACGGGUAUGUAUGAAGAUUGAACCCUCUCCUGUACUCUUGUUCCCUAAUUUUCCAGGAUGUCCAGGGGCAGA